AUGAGACCCAAACUGGUGGACUAUUUUCCUCUUCUGAGAAGAAUUGAAACACGACUCCAAUGUUGUUCCACUUUACUCUCCUAUGGAGAUAAGCUCACUCUCAUUAAAUCAGUUUUAUCAAGCAUGUCGAUUUUCUUCAUGAGCACACUGAGAUUACCUAAAUCUGUGAUCCAUCAAAUCAACAAGUACUUAAAACAUUGUUUUUGGAGAAAAUAUGGAUAUGAAGAGACAAUUGUUACCCUGAUCUCAUUGGAUAAAGACAGCCAACCCAAAUCUCAUGGUGGACUAGGGGUACCGAAUAUUGAGACUCAUAACCAGACCCUUCUUAUGAAAUUCCUCCAUAAGUUCCUCAACAAAAGUGAUAGACCUUGGGUGCAGAUUAUUCGGGAAGCCGAUUACUCCACUCAGAACCCUGGUACUAAUAUGGUUGACUCUUUUUGGUGGAGGGACAUACUGAAAGUCCUACCCACUUUCAAGCACUUUGCUAUCUGCAAACCUGGCGGUGGAGAAACACUUCCGUUCUAG
rnacentral:rRNA from 1 species